CCGUUUUGUUUGCGUGCUCCAUCCACCCGAGACCCGCUAACCCAUCUGCCCAGCACAGUUUGUUCCUUAAUUUCUGCCGUUCAAUUCUCUUCCUCUGAAUUCAAAUUUCAAAUCAUGUGGAUUAACCUUGAUUAUCAUACUGAUCCGCGCUGGGAAAUUCUACAUUUAGCAUGCUGUUGAUCUCUUCCCACUCUUUAAUCCACUGUUUCAUUUACUCUGCUGAAAACCAUUAUUGGCAAUCAGUUUUUAUCUUAAUCAGCAAGCCAUGGAAACUGCUGAGAGUGAUUCAUCCGCACCAGGGCUUCAAUCGAAUGAGCUAUAACCAAACCAGGGGAUUCGAUAUAAUCAAGGCUUCGAUUUACGUUUAAAGUCUCUCGCAGCUUGGCCUCUGUCCAAACUCUUUCCUGUGGCUGUCUGUAAGUCUCUUCCGAGAAACUUUGGUAAAACUCUGGAUUCGGCCAUCUAUUUCAUUUCGGUUAGGACUUUUCAAUUGAUUAUAGGUAUUGAUUUAAGGCUUCUUCAAAUUAUGGCUUUCUUAACCAAUUGCUUGACUGCGAUUUACAGGUCCUUCUGAUUGUGUCAAAUUAUCUCUAUCGUUUUGACCUGUUAAUGUUGUCACAGUCAUCAGUAGAACUCCGCUCGCUAACUACCACCAGGAUUUGUCGGGAGCUUUCAGUGCUGCUUCCAGUGAGACUGUAGAAGCGACAUUGUGGGGGAGUACUGAGCAUAUUCUCCAAGAACCAUGCUUCCUGUCUACCAGAAACUGAUAGCUGGUGGCAUUCAAAUAUGGGUUUUUUAGGUGAUGUAGAUGUAACGUAAUAAACACCAGAAUUUCGUAAUGCAUUAUACCACCAGUAAUUGCCAUAAGGUUAAAUGAGGGGUCUGCUGGUAUGGAAUAUUUUUGAGGUAAGAAUUCUUUCGAGUGGCUGUAGGUGUGCCGAUACUGAGGUUCCACCUUUCAAGCAGCCACCCUCACACUGAUCUUUUGAUGUGAACCUGUCUUUCAAGCAUCUUUGUAGGAGCAUCCGGCCUUUCAUGUUUAUUUUCUUUGUUAUCUGAGGUUCCACGGAGAUCAAUAAGCUUUAUCUUGGAUUCUGUACACCUUAACAUAUCACUCAUCACUGUCUUAGUAGCAGGAGUAGUGGACAUAUCCGGGACAGAAUCAGUAGAGUACAUUUCAUCAAUCUCAUCAUCAGUUCUAUCAUUAGCUCUUUUCAGGGACUUGCAAGCAAAACUUUUUUGUAUACUUUGGUGAGAUCACAGGACUUUGGGUCGGAUUUCGUGACGGAUGAAAAAAAUACCCAGAAGCCUCUUUUAUGGAUUCCAAGCUCAGCUUCUCCGAUAACAAGGAGAAUGAUACCGGUCGGAAACAAUGCUGGACUAAAAUUUCGAAUGAAAAUGCACUGGGUAUCUGCAUGAUCGGAUGAUUAGGAUUCAACAAAGCAAGACUUCAACUUCGCAUCCAAAUUCAGUGGUGGAGAAGCCAAAUACUAUUAGUAAAAAGCUCUUUACACUUGGAUAGAAUAUACUAUAUUUCUAUGAGUUGUGGCUGAGUGUCUUGGCUCUUUACACUCGAUAGUGAUGAACCUCCAGUACACGCUAUUGUCAUGCCUGCUAAGUGGAAUUCUUUAGCAAAGAUUCUAGCUGAAGGCAACCUGUGCAUUGUGUCAAAUUUUUAUAAUAGGCAAGCAACUCGCAGACUUAGGCCUGUUUCUACCCCAAAGUGCCUGAUUCAUUUAAUUUUUAUAAACCUUUCGUCCACUCCUGCGUUUUUAUAAAUUUAUGGACAUUUCAAUUGGACUAAUGAAUCGACUGUGUUAAACUGCAGCUUCCAAAGCAUGGGACAGUUAGACUAAUCUCUCUGUUGUACUUGGAUAAGUGGCGCCUGAAGUAUACAUUCGGAUUUAUGAUCACAUUUUUUCUUUCGGAUUAUCUAUCUGUUGAUAAUUUUUAAAUUUUUCGGCAAUAUAUAUGCAUAUAAAUUAAAGAAUUGCUUUAAUUUAUGAGAUCAUACAUAUUUUUCUUUUUUAGGUUUGUAUUGUUGCGUGGUAGUUCAGGCUUCUAUACUUAUGCCAUUUAUGAACACUUGGGGUCAGAGGAAUGGCGUGGCUUCAGCAUUGGUGAAAGCAGAAUCACUUUCAAGCUAAGAAAAGACAAGUUUGAAUAUAUGGCUGUAGACGAUAAUAGGCAAAGAUGGAUGCCCCUGCCGGAUGAUCAUUUACCUAGGAGAAGUCAACCCGUUGCCUCUGGAGAAGCUGUCUGAUUAAUCAAUCCAGUAAAUCCCAAGCUUAAUGGAGAGAACUCUGCUCUUCAUUUGUCUCAGAAUGCCGACAUACCAGGAACCUUCAAAUCAAUUACCAAAAGCGUGAAAAAGGGAGGGGCGGGUUGAUGCUGCAGUGGCCCUGUUGGAUGAGAUGAGAAGCAACUCCUGUAAUGCGGAUAUAGUCCUCUUCAAUAUCUGUAUUGAUUCCUUUGGCAAGGUUGGUAAAGUGGAUAUGGCUUGGAUUUUCUUUCAUGAGAUGAGAACACAUGGCCUCAGUCCUGAUGAUGUCACAUAUAUCAGCAUGAUAGGAGUACUCUGCAAAGCUAAUAGAUUGGACGAAGCUGUGAAUAUGUAUGAGCAAAUGGAGCUGAACAGGAAAGUUCCAUGUGCAUAUGCUUAUAACACCAUGAUUAUGGAAUAUGGCCUGGCGGGAAAAGUUUGAUGAAGCAUACAAGUUACUCAAACAUCAAAGACUAAAGGGUGCAUUCCAAGUUUUGGGAUGUUAAUACAUGAAUGGAGAGCUGGGGUGAAAAAAGAGGCUAAAGCUACAUAUAAGCCUCAGUUGUUACUUGCUGCUGCUGCAUACUAUUAUGCCAAUGGUAAUUUUACUGGGAUUCCAGUAAAAUACCCUAGAGCUUCAAUUAGCAAAAAUAUGGAUUGGAUCAAUGCAAUGAAUUAUGACUAUUAUGGUAAGUGGACGCGAAAUGACACUGGAAGCCAUGCAGCACUAUUAGAUUUAACAGGGAACUUGAGCACCUGUUAUGGCCUCAAGUCCUGGAUCAAAGCCGGGGUUCCAAGAAGAAAAGUGAUCAUGGGCUUGCCACUUUAGGGGAAGACUUGGAGCCUGAAAGAUCCGGAAGUGAGCUGACUUGGAGCCCCAGCUAUGGGUAUAGGUCCAGCGGCAGAAGGCAUACUGUACUAAAAUUCUCUGAAAUAGAGAAUCACAACCUGGCAAAUAAGGCUGCUGUGACACAUGACGCCGCAAGUGUCUCUACUUAUUCAGUAGCAGGGAGUACAUGGAUUGGUUAUGAUGAUAUUGUAAUUUAGUUCGUUUUAUUUAACAGCCUAUACCUAAGAGUGUUUUUUGUAGUUGUAAGAUCAAUUGAAUUAACAGUGAGACCACAAGAUUUUGAUUCAGUAAAGUCUCAUGGAAAAGUUCUAUACCCCAUCUAUAGCCAUAUAUAAUGGGGCCGUUUGGCUGGGCUUA